GAUGAACGCUGGCGGCGUGCCUAAUACAUGCAAGUCGAGCGAACGGACGAGAAGCUUGCUUUUCUGAUGUUAGCGGCGGACGUGUGAGUAACACGUGGAUAACCUACCUAUAAGACUGGGAUAACUUCGGGAAACCGGAGCUAAUACCGGAUAAUAUUUUGAACCGCAUGGGUCAAAAGUUAAAUACGGUCUUGCGGUCACUUAUAGCUGGAUCCGCGCUGUAUUAGCUAGUUGGUAAGGUAACGGCUUACCAAGGCAACGAUGCAUAGCCGAACUGAGAGGGUGAUCGGCCACCCUGGAACUGAGACACGGACAAGACUCCUACGGGAGGCAGCAGAAGGGAAUCUUACGCAAUGGGCGAAAGCCUGACGGAGCAACGCCGAGUGAGUGAUGACGGUCUUCGGAUCGUAAAAAUCUGUUAUUAGGGAAGAACAUAUGUGGAAGUAACUGUGCACAUCUUGACGGUACCGAAUCAGAAAGCAACGGCUAACUACGUG
rnacentral:rRNA from 1 species